CACAAACCAUUAUCCAUCAACAUCAUCCUCAAAUAGAACGCUUUUUGCUUCUCCUGAAACCAUCUCUCUCAUGCCCUUCGCCCCUUUCCCGCUGCUCUCUCUCCGAUUUCUACCUCCACCGGUGGCAUCAUCUUCGGCGUCGGCGUCGGCUUCUCCCCUGCUCUAUUCUUCUUUGACAUCUUUCCACUUCGUCUUUACUCACGAAUGAAGAGGUCAUUCUCCACACGUGUUCGGCCGCCCUGAAAUGUUGUAGCAGGGAUAUAUGUGAAGUUAUAAAGUGCGGAAUAUUACGGGACAAACAAAAAUUGUGGAUGGUCGAGACAAAGGCGGAGGGCGCAGCGCAGACGGUCCCUUUGUUCAAACUUCCAACCCUAAGGCUCUCUCUCUCUCUCUCUCUCUCUCUCUCUCUCUCUCUCUCACACUAAGCAAUGCGAGCCAGAGUUUUGAGGGGCCUAUUGGAUCCGGUCAUGCGUUGCCUGCAUCAGAACCCUCAUCCCUUGAAGCCUCCGGUACUGGUUUGUCUCACUUUGGACAGCGCCCUGUUCAGCACAGAGAGACGGACUCGGCCACCUACAGAACCUCCAAGGGAUAACGAUCUGUUCCACAAGUUCAGGCUCACCGAAGACGAAGAUGACGAAGAAGGACAGGCCGCAGCAGUGGGUGCGCAUAAAACUGCCUCCCCCGUCGAUGCCACUAGAGAGGGCGUCGAGUCCAGGGUUGAAGUGCCGCCAAACGCUAAAGAAAUCUUCAAUAAGAUGAAGGAGACCGGAAUGAUCCCGAACGCGGUGGCCAUGCUCGAUGGUCUGUGCAAGGAUGGUCUUAUUCAGGUCGCGAUGAAACUUUUUGGAUUAAUGAGGGAAAAUGGGACAAUCCCUGAUGUAGUGAUCUACACUGCGGUCGUUGAUGGUUUCUGCAAGGCCAUGCAAUUCGACGAUGCGACGAAGAUCUUCAAGAAGAUGCAAUCCAAUGGGGUCGUCCCCAAUGCGUACAGUUACGCGGUGAUGAUUCAGGGGCUGUGCAGGGGACAGAAGUUGGAUGACGCCUUGUCUUAUUGCCUUGAGAUGCUUGAACACGGACAUCACCCUAACGUAGCGACAUUCAUGAUGUUGGUAGACGGAUUCUGCAAGCAGAACAGGAUGGGGGAAGUGGAGAGAGUAAUUGGGAGAUUGAGAGAGAAAGGCUUUGCUUUGAACGAAAAGGAUAUCAGGGAACACUUGGAUAAGAAGGGACCUUUUCAUAAGGGAAUUCGGGAAGUGAUAUUUGGGAAAAGGGUCGUGUAGUUUAGGCGGCUCUCUUUCUUCCUGUAAAGUUCGUUUCUACCGAGGUCGGGUCGGAUCGGGUCCAGAUCCAGACCCGAGCUCCACUCGUGGAAAGGAGCCCGUCACGCGAGGGAGUUCUCCUCCCUCGACUUCUUCAGUGUCUUCUUCUUCCCCUUCUUCGACUCUUUGUCUGCUAUGACCGCAGCACGGUGAAGAACAAGACGGUGGGUUGAGCGGCGGCGGCAGCUCGUGGGUAAGCCCUCUCAACCUCUGCCUCUUCCCCUCCUUUUCCCCUUCUUCUUCCCUUUUCUGCUCCCUCUCUCAUUGUUUCUCUUCUUCCCUUUUCUGCUCCCUCUCUCAUUGUUUCUGCUGUCUCCCCUCUCAACUGUACAACCUCCCUCUUAUAGAACCCUUUUUCUCUCGUGCUAUUCCCCUCCUCUGCUAUUCUCUCGCCCUCUCUACCUGCACUCUCCCCUUUCCGUUAGUGCUCUCCCUCUGUCGGCUCCCUCUCCUUAACCGUGUGAGUCAUCCUCAACCGAACCCCUUUCUCUCUCAGCCGAGCCUCUUUUUGCCUUGCCAACUGCCUUCUUCUCACAGCAGACCUCUAAUUUCCUCUCCUUUUUGUGGAUUCUCAUCGUAGCUAUUGUCGUUUGAAUGGAUUGCAGCUAGGGGAGUAUCUUCCCCCUCUUACCAGCAAAUAGGGCGUGUGGUUGGCAACGACAACAAGCAAUCUUGGGCUUUGGCACUUGAUCGAACCCUUGAGGUGGCUGCCUAGAAAAUUGCAGCAGUCUAGACUCGUGAUUUGGGGUACACCGGGCACAUCCCGUCGACCUUGAGCGACCAAAUUCGAAGCUCGAGGCAUUUUGAAGAGUUUUCUGGACGCGUGUCAGGUUUUGGUGGACCCGGGGCAGCAGGUUGAGCAGAUGGCUUCACUCACGUCCUACUGGGGAGGUUUUGGGUCAAUUGUAGUGUCAGCGCGUUUUGUUUUGGUUUUAUUGAUGCCUUAUUUUUGUUAGGCAUCAAUGUUGUGAGUUUGGGCAUUUUUGUCAUAUGUGCAGAUGAACUGAAAUUCUUAUUUAAUGGAAAGCUUGCCCAUUGUUUUGCA